rnacentral:rRNA from 1 species
GGGAAACUGAGGAUAAUUUUUCAUAAUUGAAUAGGCUUGGAAAAGUUUUUCAACUAAAAGGAUAAGAUAAACGGAUCUUAUUCGCUAUAGGAUAGGAUCGUGGUCGAUUAUGGUUGUUGGUGAGGUAACGGCUCACCAAGCCGAUAACCGAUAGGGGCCGUGAGAGCGGGAGCCCCGAGAUGGGUACUGAGACAACGACCCAGGCCUUACGAGGCGCAGCAGGCGCGAAACCUCCGCAAUACACGAAAGUGUGACGGGGUUACCCAAAGUGUCCAUAUUUGGACUGUGGUAAGUGAGUAAUAUCCCUUACCAGAAAGGAGAGGGCAAGGCUGGUGCCAGCCGCCGCGGUAAAACCAGCUCUUCAAGUGGUCGGGAUGAUUAUUGGGCUUCAAGUGCCCGUAGCCGGUUUAGUAAGUUCCUGGUAAAAUCGGGUAGCUUAACUAUCGGCAUGCUAGGAAUACUACUAUGCUAGAGGGCGGGAGAGGUCUGAGGUACUACAGGGGUAGGGGGUGAAAUCUUUAUAAUCCUUGCAGGACCACCAGUGGCGAAGGCGUCAGACUGGAACGCGCCUGACGGUGAGGGACGAAAGCCAGGGGAGCGAACCGGAUUAGAUACCCGGGUAGUCCUGGCCGUAAACGAUGCACACUAGGUGAUGGUACGGCCAUGAGCCGUGUCAGUGCCGUAGGGUAACCGUUAAGUGUGCCGCCUGGGAAGUACGGUCGCAAGGCUGAAAACUUGA